rnacentral:lncRNA from 1 species
AUUGCAGCUUACAGAAGACCCAGCUAAGGCCAUGUCUGGACUUUAAAUCCACAGGAACUGCAAGAUGGUAUCAGAAGUGGGACCUGCAGUGGGGCAUCUAGCAACCCCCAGGAGCAUUGAGUGACCAGGCUUGGGACCCACCGGGCGCAGGGUGUCCAUUGUUCUCUCGAAGCAACUGAGAAUUGUGGAUAUUCUUCAUUAUUCCAUCAUCAUCUCAAACCUCUUGGGUAUAGUGUUUGACUACUACUGUGACCAUAAAUUCCAAUAAAACCUAGGAAAAAUGAAACCACUACAUUAACUGAAAGGAUAUCAGAGAGACUUCUCUACUGCUUGGGAUGCUUGUUCAGAGUAUAAUUUCCAUAGCAGCAAGAAAAGGAAUUUUUGUUUGUGGAUACUUUAAAGUAAAUAAAGCUAUUAUAGAAGGCAAAAG